rnacentral:ncRNA from 1 species
UAUAAAGUUUUAUUCUGGCUUGGAAUUGUGGUUUUUAUUUUGUUUAUAUGUAAAUUUUUGUGUGGAUAAAUAUUGAUUUAAAUAAUCUUUAUAAAUAAUUCAUUCGCAGUAUGUAAAUUUGAAUAUUAAUGAAAAUUUGACUUAGAAAUAUAAUUUAGUUUCAACAAAAAUUGUGCCAGCAGUUGCGGUUAUACAAUUGAUGCAAUCAUAAUUUUUUAAUAAAUAGUUAAUUGCUAAGUUUUUAUAUAAAUUCAAUUUUAUUAGGUGAAAUUAUAAAUUUGAUAAAAUUAUUAAAUUGUUAUUUGAAGCUAUUAAAUUUUAGUAAUAAACUAGGAUUAGAUACCCUAUUAUUUAAAAUGUAAAAUAUUUUGUUAAGUUAGUAUUAGUUAUGAUCUUGAAAGCUAAAGAUUUUGGCGGUAUUUUAGUCUAUUCAGAGGAACCUGUCCUGUAAUCGAUAGUCCACGAUAAAUUGUACUUAUUUUAAUUAGUUUGUAUAUCGUCGUAGUUGAAUAUUUCAUUAGAAUUAAAAAUGUUCAUGAUUUUAUAUAAAAAAUUAAAUCAGAUCAAGGUGCAGCUUAUAAAUAAGAAGAGAUGGGUUACAAUAAUAUUAAUUAUUAACGGAUUUUUAGAUGCAAAUUUAAUUUGAAGGUGGAUUUGAAAGUAAUAAUUUAUAUUUAUUAAUUAUGAUUUUGGCUCUAGAAUAUGCACAUAUUGCCCGUCGCUUUCAUUUGUAGUUGGAAUAAGUCGUAACAUAGUAGAGGUACUGGAAAGUGUUUCUUGAUAUCA